rnacentral:lncRNA from 10 species
AGGCAUUCCCGGAACGAGAGUUAAUCAGAAGUCAACGUGGCGGAUUAGCAUCCACGAUGGAGUUGCUUUAGCUUCCACAGCUGGUUUGGACUGCUGAGACGCAAGUUCGUUUUACUCUAUUAUUAUUUUGUAAUUUUCUUUCAUCAGAAACUCACUCUGAGGAUUCAGAAUUCCACAAUUUAGCAAAGUGUUUAAUCCUUAAUAUAGAGGAAAUUCAUAUUCAAUAAAAGCCUACUUCAGUGCUUCUGUACCUCCUGGGGCUCAUAAAUGUACAAACCAGCAGUUUCAGGCUGGGGGUCCUCAGUCUCCCCAACCAGUGCUGACACAUGCCGAGCUGAAUUUGAAACAGUGGGAGAUCUAGAGAUGCAUGAAUCACUGACUCCGCUGUGACACUCCUAGAAAUGAAGGCAACUGCUCCCUGGACAAGGUGCUUGGUCAGCCAUGGCAGAGGAAUUUCUAUAAUAUACAAAUACUCUUGCAAAUCAGUGGAAAAAUGAUGAAUGCCUUCCCAACCCGAAAGAAGCAGAAUUCACUAAAGAGAAAGUGAGAAUUGCCAGUAGACACUUGACAAGAUGCUGGAAAACAAAAGACAUGCAGAAUAAAACAGUAUCGGGCAAUUUUUCCACCUGCUAGACUGAUAAAUAUUUGUAAAGAUUUCUAUUUCCGGUGUAGAUGAUAAAAUGAGGGAUAGGCACUUUUGAUGUGAGUAUAAAGUAUAACAGUUUUGUAGAGAGAGUCAGUCAUAUUUAUCAUGCUUUAAAAUGUUCAUAUCCUUUACCCAGCAAUUCCACCUUUUCUAGAAACUUAUUCCAAGGCAAUCCAAAUACAAAUCUCUGAAGAGGCUAGAUGCAGUGGCUCAUGCCUAUAAUCCUAGCACUUUGGGAGGCUGGCAGGAGCAUCACUUGAGCCCAGGAGUUUGAGACCAGCCUGGGCAACAAGGCGAAACCCCGUCUUUAGAAAAAACACAACGAUUAGCUGGGCGUGGUGGCGUGUGCCUGUAGUCCUAGCUACUUGGGAGGCUGAGGUGGGAGAAUCGCUUGAGCCUGGGAGGUUGAGGCUUCAGUGAGCCAUGAUUAAGCCAUUGCACUCCAGCCCAGGCGACAGAGUAAGACCCUGUCUCAACAACAACAACAACAACAAACAAUCUAUACAGAGGCACAGAGAUGACAUUCAUAAUCAAUGUUAUGAGUCUAGGCUUGCUUUAUGACAGGUUCUAUGUACAAUACUUUAGCAUCAUUGAAUUCUCAUGGCCACUAAAGCAAUGUGUAGUUUACCUUGAAUAACAUGGGGGUGAGGGGUAAUGAACCCUCCUCCUGCUGAAAAUCCAAGUUUAACUUUUGACUUCCCCAAAACUUAACUGCUAAUAGCCUACUGUUGACUGGAAGCUUUGCUGAUAACAUAAGCAGUCAAUUAACUUAUAUUUUGUAUGUUAUAUGUAUUACAUACUGUAUUCUCAAUGAAGUAAGCUAGAGAAAAGAAAAUGUUACUAAGAGAAUCAUAAGGAAGAGAAAAUAUAUUUCCUAUUGAUUAAGCAGAACUGAGUCUUCAUAAAGGUCUUCAUCCUCAUCAUCUUCACACUGAGUAGGCUGAGGAGGAAGAGGAAGGGGGGGUUGGUCUUGCUCUGUCAGGGUCAGCAGAGGCAGAAGAAAAUCCAAGUGCAAAUGAGCCCACGCAGUUCAAACCCGUGUUGUUCAAGGGCCAACUGUACUAUUGUUAGUGUUCACUUUAUAAAUGAUAAAACUGAGGCUUGGAAAGAAAAACAUGCUCAAGGUCAUUCCACUUGCAAUGAGCAAACCCUGGUCAGUGCUUGCUCCAAAGCCUGUGCCUGUGGUUCUAUCCCACGCAUUGUUAUUUGCAACAGCAAAAUCUAUAGGCAGGUCCAGGUUCAUUAAGGUGGAUGACGUAAAUUGUGGCUCAUCCAGACAAAGCAAUAGUACCCAGCUAUAGGAAUGAAGGAAGUAAGGCCGGGCACAGUGACUCACGCCUGUAAUCCCAGCACUUUAGGAGGCCGAGGCCAGUGGAUCACCUGAGGUUGGGAGUUCGAGACCAGCCUGACCGACGUGGAGAAACCCCAUCUCUACUAAAAAUACAAAAUUAGCUGGGCAUGUUGGCGCAUGCCUGUAAUCCCAGCUACUAAGGAGGCUGACGCAGGAGAAUUUCUUGAACCCGGGAGGUGGAGGUUGUAGUGAGCCGAGAUUGUGCCAUUGAACUCCAGCCUGGGCAACAAGAGCGAAACUCUGUCUCAAAGAAAAAAAAAAAAGGGAAAAAGAAAUGAAGGAAGUAGAUGUGUAUAUACUAGAGAGAUCAACAUGAUAUGUAGACAAAGAAAGCAAGAUGGUCAAAAUAGUGAUUAUUCUAUUUUUGUUUAAAAAUAAUAAUAAUUAGUGAUGGAUGUGAUUACCUCUGAAUGCUUCAUAAUUAAAAAAAUUUUAAUUUGGAAAUAAUAUUAAACUUUUAGAAAAGUGUGAUAAGAAGCCAAGUCACUCCUGGUCCUGCCCCAGUGCUCAAAAUUACAGCCUUCCUCUACCUUCUCUGCCUUCUCUGGAUUCCCAGAGGAGAUGCCUUCCCUCCUGUUCAGGAAUAAGCCCUUACUUUUCGUCUUAAUUAGAUCCCUUCAGUUCAGCAGCCCCCACUCACCCUGCUGUUAUUUAACCUUUUCCCUCCUAUCCUGACUUCUUUCUCUCAACUUCAAAGAUUUUCAGGUCCUUCACUGCUUCAAAACCUUACCUGCUAGCUACCUUCUUCCAGGAAGAUCCUUAAAACCUUUGUCUUCUGUCACUCGCUCUUCCUCCUCACUCCUUCCCCAAACUUCUAGUCCCUGCCGCCCUAGGGCUUCCCCUCCAGCAUGCCAUUCAGUGACAAUUCUUUUUUAUUGAGACCGAGUCUGGCUCUGCCUCCCAGGCUGGAGUACAGUGGUGCAAUCUGGGCUCACUGAAA